GGGGGGGGGGGGGGGGGGGGGGGGGGGGGGGGGGGGGGAGGGGGGGGGCCGGCUUGGGGGGGGGGCGCGGGGGGCGAACGGGGGAGUAACACGGGGGUAACCUGCCCUGGACUUGGGGAUAACUUCCGGAAACUGGGGCUAAUACCGGAUAGGAGCUCCUGCUGCAUGGUGGGGGUUGGAAAGUUUCGGCGGUUGGGGAUGGACUCGCGGCUUAUCAGCUUGUUGGUGGGGUAGUGGCUUACCAAGGCUUUGACGGGUAGCCGGCCGGAGAGGGUGACCGGCCACAUUGGGACGGAGAUCCGGCCCAGACUCCUACGGGAGGCAGCAGUGGGGAAUAUUGCACAAUGGGCGGAAGCCUGAUGCAGCAACGCCGCGGGCGGGAUGACGGCCUUCGGGUUGUAAACCGCUUUCGCCUGUGACGAAGCGUGAGUGACGGUAAUGGGGAAAGAAGCACCGGCUAACUACGU
rnacentral:rRNA from 1 species